rnacentral:rRNA from 1 species
GAUUUCAAUGAAAUUCUAAUGCCAAGUGAUAAGAAAGGUGGGAAUCCUCGACCAUGUGUGCUUCAAGAUUUUAGUGACUGAGUAUUUGUAUGUGGCCUCGACGGAGUUGAGUUUUGGGGAGAUCAUUUUACAUGGAGACGUGGUGAUAUCCAGGAGAGACUGGAUCAGACAGUAGGCAAUGAGGGAUGGUCAACAAAGUUUCCAUUGUCGGCGGUUGUUCACGAGCACCAUGUGCACUCUGAUCAUCAGCCACUGUUGUUGGAAACAGAGUAUUAUGAUGGAUCUCAGCUCAGAAAUCGUCCUGCAAAAAGCUUGAGGCCCGUUGCUUACGUGAAGAAACAUCGAACAAAAUCGUUAAUACGACGUGGGAAAAAACAAAGUUAG